rnacentral:rRNA from 1 species
UGCAGUUAAAGCUCGUAGUUGGAUUUCGGAAGGUCCUUAGUAAUCCGCCCCUUCGGGGAGCGGGUUACUGGCCUCCUAUGUUCCUAACGGUCCUCAUCCGCGAGGGUGGGGAAUCAACCGCUAGGAUCGUUUACUUUGAGGAAAUUAGAGUGUUCAAAGCAGGCGUAACUCGCCUCCGAAUACGUUAGCAUGGGAUAAUGGAAUACGACUUCGGUCUUGUUUCGUUGGUUUCGCUUGGCUGAAGUAAUGAUUGAUAGGGACAGUUGGGGGCAUUAGUAUUUAGUUGUCAGAGGUGAAAUUCUAGGAUUUACUAAAGACUGACCAAUGCGAAAGCAUUUGCCAAGGAUGUUUUCAUUAAUCAAGAACGAAAGUAGGGGGAUCGAAGACGAUCAGAUACCGUCGUAGUCUCUACCGUAAACUAUGCCGACCAGGGAUCCGGAGAGUUUGCAUGGAUGACUCCCCGGGCACCUUGUGAGAAAUCAUAAGUGUUUGGGUUUUGGGGGGAGUAUGGUCGCAAGGCUGAAACUUAAAGGAAUUGACGGAAGGGCACCACCAGGAGUGGAACCUGCGGCUUAAUUUGACUCAA